UCUGAUGCUGAAAUUCUCAAAUUGGGCUUCUGACAUAUUCAUGAUACUAUUAUUCCCAUUUCACAGGAUGAUAUUUUCUUACUAAUUCAUGUUGUUCCCGUGCCACUUGUUUGAAACGACACUAUAAAUAUGAGUGCUUUGAGGCAACUGGAAACUCAGAGCAAAAAAAUUUUCUUGUUCUUCUCAAUUAAAAUAGAGAGAGAAAUGGCAUCACUGAAAGCUGAGAAGCCAGUUGGUACUCAACCAUCUGGCCCCUGCAGCCAAGAAAGCAUCUGCUAAGGCUACUGCUUCUUCCAAGUCCGCAAUGAAAAAGCCUAGUCAGCCUAAGAAGAAGACAUCAGGUAGCAAGUCAGCUGCAAAGAAGUAAGAAGAAGGAAGAGUAAUUAGGAUGGAAUGAUGAAGAAUAUAUGGCAGCCUUACUAAGCAUAAAAGGCGUGGCUGCUAUUUAAAUCUAUGAGUGAUAUAAUAUAAUUAGUACUGGCUUGUAUUUUCUUCUCUUUGGUUUCCUCUUAAUGAAAUAAUCUCCUACUCGUGUUUGUGAAAUUG